GUGAUGAUGACAGUAUAAAAUCUGAUUUAUUACUUGAGUAGAAAUUUUAACCUCUAAGAAGUGCUGAACAG